UUGGCUCUUAUUAGCGUCGGAUUUUUAUUUUUAUUUACGUCUUACGGAUCAUUGCUGGUUCUUCAAAGUUCAAUUAAUGCGGCGCAUGGAGUUGGAAACUACGCUUCAACAACUACUCAUGUCACAUUAAUUGUUGCAGCGUUGUUCUUACCAACAUUAGUAAUUCGUAAACUAACUGCCAAGUGGACUAUUGUUGUGUCAAUGUGUGGGUAUAUGACUUUUUGUGCAGCACAAUUUUAUCCCACAUUUGGAACUUUAAUACCGGCCGCAGCAAUUGUUGGUAUUUGUGCAUCAACACUGUGGAGUACGAAAUGCUUUUAUUUGACACAGAUUGGAAAAAGACUAGCUCAAAUUACAAACAAAGAUAAUUCCGAUGUGGUCAUUUCGUACAUGUUCAGCAUUUUUUUCGCAUUCUUUCAAAGUAGCGUGAUUUGGGGAAAUUUGGUUGGUUCACUUGUUCUGUCUGUUGGCUCCGACAAUGUUCUUAAGACUCCGGAAGAACUAAAUCGAUGCGGUGCAAAUUUUUGCCCUGGCAUGGUUGUAUCCAAUUCUACUGCAGAUGACGCUGAUAGUGAUGACAAUAAUUUAAGGUUACGAGUGAAUAUUCUGUCGGGAAUAUUGUUGGGGUGUGCACUAGGUGCAAUCGCUCUUGUAGCGUUCUUCGUGGAUCCAUUAGAU